rnacentral:rRNA from 1 species
UUAUGACGUACUUGUACUGAUUGAGAUUUUAACACGAAGUGAGUGGCGAACGGGUGAGUAACACGUGGGUAACCUGCCCAGAAGUAGGGGAUAACACCUGGAAACAGAUGCUAAUACCGUAUAACAGAGAAAACCGCAUGGUUUUCUUUUAAAAGAUGGCUCUGCUAUCACUUCUGGAUGGACCCGCGGCGUAUUAGCUAGUUGGUGAGGUAAAGGCUCACCAAGGCAGUGAUACGUAGCCGACCUGAGAGGGUAAUCGGCCACAUUGGGACUGAGACACGGCCCAGACUCCUACGGGAGGCAGCAGUAGGGAAUCUUCCACAAUGGACGCAAGUCUGAUGGAGCAACGCCGCGUGAGUGAAGAAGGGUUUCGGCUCGUAAAGCUCUGUUGUUAAAGAAGAACGUGGGUAAGAGUAACUGUUUACCCAGUGACGGUAUUUAACCAGAAAGCCACGGCUAACUACGUGCCAGCAGCCGCGGUAAUACGUAGGUGGCAAGCGUUAUCCGGAUUUAUUGGGC